UACAUAGGCCCCAAGCAUUAUCCGGAUUUAUUGGGCGUAAAGCGCUAAAAGGUUGUUUGAUAAGUCAUGUGUUAAAGACCGAAGCUCAACUUCGGGCCUGCACGUGAAACUGUCAAACUUGAGAACGGGAGAGGCAAGUAGAAUUACCGGUGUAGCAGUAAAAUGCGUUAAUAUCGGUAGGAAUACCAGUGGCGAAGGCGGCUUGCUGGAACGUUUCUGACACUAAAUAGCGAAAGCGUAGGUAGCGAAUGGG
rnacentral:misc_RNA from 1 species